AACGAACGCUGGCGGCAGGCCUAACACAUGCAAGUCGAACGCUCCGCAAGGGGAGUGGCAGACGGGUGAGUAACACGUGGGAAUCUUCCUGUUGGUGCGGAAUAGCUCAGGGAAACUUGGGGUAAUACCGCAUAAGCCCGAGAGGGGAAAGAGUUAUCGCCGACAGAUGAGCCCGCGUCUGAUUAGCUAGUUGGUGAGGUAACGGCUCACCAAGGCGACGAUCAGUAGCUGGUCUGAGAGGAUGACCAGCCACACUGGGACUGAGACACGGCCCAGACUCCUACGGGAGGCAGCAGUGGGGAAUAUUGGACAAUGGGCGCAAGCCUGAUCCAGCCAUGCCGCGUGAGUGACGAAGGUCUUCGGAUUGUAAAGCUCUUUUGCCGGGGACGAUAAUGACGGUACCUGGAGAAUAAGCCCCGGCUAACUUCGUGCCAGCCGCCGCCGUAAGAC
rnacentral:rRNA from 1 species